rnacentral:rRNA from 1 species
GACGAACGCUGGCGGCGUGCUUAACACAUGCAAGUCGAACGGUGAAGGGACUGGUUUUGCUGGUCCUGGAUGAGUGGCGAACGGGUGAGUAACACGUGAGUAACCUGCCCCCUUCUUCUGGAUAACCGCAUGAAAGUGUGGCUAAUACGGGAUAUUCUGGGUCUGUCGCAUGGUGGGCCUGGGAAAGAUUGCGCCUUUUUUGGUGUUUUUGGUGGGGGAUGGGCUCGCGGCCUAUCAGCUUGUUGGUGGGGUGAUGGCCUACCAAGGCGGUGACGGGUAGCCGGCCUGAGAGGGUGGACGGUCACACUGGGACUGAGACACGGCCCAGACUCCUACGGGAGGCAGCAGUGGGGAAUAUUGCACAAUGGGCGCAAGCCUGAUGCAGCGACGCCGCGUGAGGGAUGGAGGCCGUCGGGUUGUGAACCUCUUUCGCCAGUGAAGCAGGCCUGCCUCUUUUUGUGAGUGGGUUGACGGUAGCUGGAUAAGAAGCGCCGGCUAACUACGUG